rnacentral:rRNA from 1 species
GAUGAACGCUGGCGGCGUGCUUAACACAUGCAAGUCGAACGGGAAACCUUUUAUUGAAGCUUCGGCAGAUUUAGCUGGUUUCUAGUGGCGGACGGGUGAGUAACGCGUGGGUAACCUGCCUUAUUCAGGGGGAUAACAGUCAGAAAUGGCUGCUAAUACCGCAUAAGCGCACAGAGCUGCAUGGCUCAGUGUGAAAAACUCCGGUGGUAUAAGAUGGACCCGCGUUGGAUUAGCUGGUUGGUGGGGUAACGGCCCACCAAGGCGACGAUCCAUAGCCGGCCGGAGAGGGUGAACGGCCACAUUGGGACUGAGACACGGCCCAGACUCCUACGGGAGGCAGCAGUGGGGAAUAUUGCACAAUGGGGGAAACCCUGAUGCAGCGACGCCGCGUGAAGGAAGAAGUAUCUCGGUAUGUAAACUUCUAUCAGCAGGGAAGAUAAUGACGGUACCUGACUAAGAAGCCCCGGCUAACUACGUG